rnacentral:rRNA from 1 species
CAUGCAAGUCGAGCGAUGAACACCUUCGGGUGUGAAUUAGCGGCGAGCGGGUGAGGAACACGUGAAGAAUCUGCCUUCAACUCUGGGAUAACUCCGGGAAACCGGGGCUAAUACCGGAUAUGAGCCUUGAUCGCAUGAUCGGGGCUGGAAAGUUUUUCGGUUGAAGAUGACUUCGCGGCCUAUCAGCUUGUUGGUGAGGUAAUGGCUCACCAAGGCGACGACGGGUAGCCGGCCUGAGAGGGCGACUGGCCACACUGGGACUGAGACACGGCCCAGACUCCUACGGGAGGCAGCAGUGGGGAAUAUUGGGCAAUGGAGGAAACUCUGACCCAGCGACGCCGCGUGAGGGAUGAAGGCCUUCGGGUUGUAAACCUCUUUCAGUAGGGAAGAAGCGAAAGUGACGGUACCUACAGAAGAAGCACCGGCUAACUAUGUGCCAGCAGCCGCGGUAAUACAUAGGGUGCAAGCGUUGUCCGGAAUUAUUGGGCGUAAAGAGCUCGUAGGUGGUUCGAUACGUCGGAUGUGAAAAUCAGGGGCUCAACCCCUGACCUGCAUCCGAUACGGUCGAGCUAGAGUUUGGUAGGGGAGACUGGAAUUCCUGGUGUAGCGGUGGAAUGCGCAGAUAUCAGGAGGAACACCGAUGGCGAAGGCAGGUCUCUGGGCCAAUACUGACACUGAGGAGCGAAAGCGUGGGGAGCGAACAGGAUUAGAUACCCUGGUAGUCCACGCCGUAAACGGUGGGCGCUAGUUGUGCGAACCUUCCACGGUUUGUGCGACGCAGCUAACGCAUUAAGCGCCCCGCCUGGGGAGUACGAUCGCAAGAUUAAAACUCAAAGGAAUUGACGGGGCCCCGCACAAGCAGCGGAGCAUGCGGCUUAAUUCGACGCAACGCGAAGAACCUUACCAAGGCUUGACAUAUACAGGAAUAUGGC